rnacentral:rRNA from 1 species
GACGAACGCUGGCGGCGUGCUUAACACAUGCAAGUCGAACGGCAGCAUAGGUGCUUGCACCUGAUGGCGAGUGGCGAACGGGUGAGUAAUACAUCGGAACGUGCCCAGUCGUGGGGGAUAACGUAGCGAAAGUUACGCUAAUACCGCAUACGAUCUAAGGAUGAAAGCGGGGGACCGUAAGGCCUCGCGCGAUUGGAGCGGCUGAUGUCAGAUUAGGUAGUUGGUGAGGUAAAGGCUCACCAAGCCGACGAUCUGUAGCUGGUCUGAGAGGACGACCAGCCGCACUGGGACUGAGACACGGCCCAGACUCCUACGGGAGGCAGCAGUGGGGAAUUUUGGACAAUGGACGCAAGUCUGAUCCAGCCAUUCCGCGUGCAGGACGAAGGCCUUCGGGUUGUAAACUGCUUUUGUACGGAACGAAAAAGCUCUUACUAAUACUAGGAGUCCAUGACGGUACCGUAAGAAUAAGCACCGGCUAACUACGUGCCAGCAGCCGCAGUAA